GCUGGGCGCGAUGGCUCAUGCCUGUAAUCCCAGCACUUUGGGAGGCAGAGACAGGAGGAUUACUUGAGCCCAGGAGUUUGAGACCAGCCUGGGCAACAUAGUGAGACCUUGUCUCUA
ensembl:misc_RNA Metazoa_SRP Metazoan signal recognition particle RNA